rnacentral:rRNA from 1 species
AUUGAACGCUGGCGGCAUGCUUUACACAUGCAAGUCGAACGGCAGCGCGGGGCAACCUGGCGGCGAGUGGCGAACGGGUGAGUAAUAUAUCGGAACGUACCCAGAAGUGGGGGAUAACGUAGCGAAAGUUACGCUAAUACCGCAUACGAUCUACGUAUGAAAGUAGGGGACCGCAAGGCCUUAUGCUUUUGGAGCGGCCGAUAUCUGAUUAGCUAGUUGGUGAGGUAAAGGCUCACCAAGGCGACGAUCAGUAGCUGGUCUGAGAGGACGACCAGCCACACUGGAACUGAGACACGGUCCAGACUCCUACGGGAGGCAGCAGUGGGGAAUUUUGGACAAUGGGCGCAAGCCUGAUCCAGCAAUGCCGCGUGAGUGAAGAAGGCCUUCGGGUUGUAAAGCUCUUUUGUCAGGGAAGAAACGGUAGAGGCUAAUAUCCUUUGCUAAUGACGGUACCUGAAGAAUAAGCACCGGCUAACUACGUG